GUUGGAGUAGCUCAGCUAGUUAGUCCGUGUGGCUGUUAAUCAUAAGCUUGAAAGUUCAAACCCUUCCUCUAGCU
rnacentral:tRNA from 1 species